UACUAGAGUAGCACUCGCAUAUCAAUAAGCGGAGGAAAAGAAACUAACUAAGGAUUCCCUCAGUAACGGCGAGUGAAGCGGGAAGAGGCUCAAAUUUGAAAUCUUCAAGGUUCUACCUUGACGAAUUGUAGUUUAUAGAAGUGUUUUCUGUUAGUGGAGUUUGGUAAAAGUUCUUUGGAAUAGGACAUCAUAGAGGGUGAGAAUCCCGUAUUUGACCGUUACUUUCCUAGCUGUGUGAUACACUUUCAAAGAGUCGGAUCGUUUGGGAAUGCAGUCCAAAAUGGGUGGUAAGUUUCAUCUAAAGCUAAAUAUUGGCGAGAGACCGAUAGCGAACAAGUACCGUGAGGGAAAGAUGAAAAGAACUUUGAAAAGAGAGUUAAACAGUACGUGAAAUUGUCAAAAGGGAAGCGUUUGACACCAGUGUUGUUUAUUUCGAAAAUCAAUUCAAGAAUGUUUUAUUUUUGAGGAGUAUUGACUUCAUCAGCUUGCUGCUUUCUUUUCAGAAAUUAUUGAAUGCACUUUUCAGUUAACAAGUCAACAUCAAUUUCUUUUGUUGUAAAAGGGUAAGAGGAAGGUGGCUUACGCUUCGGCGUAAGUGUUUAUAGCCUUUUACCUCUGCAAUCGGAGAGAUUGAGGACAGCAGCGUAGACUCUUCGGGGUUAGAUACACUUGUGCUAAGCUAUAGCCUUGUAUAGACAACUUGUUGACUAUGCUCAGUCAUGUAGCUUACUCGCUUGUGCUAUUUUACCUACGCUUAGGAUGUUGAAGAUAUGCGCGACAC
rnacentral:rRNA from 1 species